AGCAGCCGCGGUAAUUCCAGCUCCAAUAGCGUAUAUUAAAGUUGUUGCAGUUAAAAAGCUCGUAGUUGAAUUUCGGGAUUAGUACGCUGGUCAUGCCUUUGGUAUGUACUGGUGUUACUGAUUUCUACCUUCUGAAGAACCGUUAUGUCAUUCAUUUGGUGUGGCGGGGAAUCAGGACUGUUACUUUGAAAAAUUAGAGUGUUUAAAGCAGGCUCGCGCUUGAAUACAUUAGCAUGGAAUAAUGAAAUAGGACGUUGAUCCUAUUUUGUUGGUUUCUAGGAUUGACGUAAUGAUUAAUAGGGAUAGUUGGGGGCAUUAGUAUUCAAUUGUCAGAGGUGAAAUUCUUGGAUUUAUUGAAGACUAACUACUGCGAAAGCAUUUGCCAAGGAUGUUUUCAUUAAUCAAGAACGAAAGUUAGGGGAUCGAAGACGAUCAGAUACCGUCGUAGUCUUAACCAUAAACUAAUGCCGACUAGGGAUC
rnacentral:rRNA from 1 species